CAGAGGCCUCGAGCGUUAGGCGGAAUCACUGGGCUUAAAGCGUGUGUAGGUGGAUGCCUAAGUGCCUUGUGAAAUCCCACGGCUCAACCGUGGAACUGCUUGGCAUACUGGGUGUCUUGAGCCACUUAGGGGUUACCGGAACAAACGGUGGAGCGGUGAAAUGCGUAGAUAUCGUUUGGAACGCCAAUGGUGAAAACAGGUAACUGGGAGUGUGCUGACACUGAGACACGAAAGCCAGGGGAGCGAACGGGAUUAGAUACCCCGGUAGUCCUGGCCGUAAACGAUGUCCACUAGAUCGUGGCAGCUCUGACGUUGUCAUGGUCGAAGCAAAAGUGCUAAGUGGACCGCCUGGGAAGUACGGUCGCAAGGCUA
rnacentral:rRNA from 1 species